GGCAGGCAAUGGAUUGGAAGACCAAAGCAGAGGAGGCCACAAGACCAGGUGGCUCUUCUCAGAGAAAUUUGGACCAACUGGUCAGAUUUCUUCAAAGAAAAUGAGUCGGAAUUCCUAAUGGCUGAGAAAGAAUUUUGUAUUGAAUAUUUGAUGCGUAUUUUUACUGCUAAAAACCUGUCAUUCAAAAUAAGCAAAGUAAGCCCUUAGAGAGCUUUUUUU
rnacentral:misc_RNA from 1 species